GAUGAACGCUGGCGGCGUGCCUAAUACAUGCAAGUCGAGCGAACAGAUGAGGAGCUUGCUCCUCUGACGUUAGCGGCGGACGGGUGAGUAACACGUGGAUAACCUACCUAUAAGACUGGGAUAACUUCGGGAAACCGGAGCUAAUACCGGAUAAUAUAUUGAACCGCAUGGUUCAAUAGUGAAAGACGGUUUUGCUGUCACUUUUAGAUGGAUCCGCGCCGCAUUAGCUAGUUGGUAAGGUAACGGCUUACCAAGGCGACGAUGCGUAGCCGACCUGAGAGGGUGAUCGGCCACACUGGAACUGAGACACGGUCCAGACUCCUACGGGAGGCAGCAGUAGGGAAUCUUCCGCAAUGGGCGAAAGCCUGACGGAGCAACGCCGCGUGAGUGAUGAAGGUCUUCGGAUCGUAAAACUCUGUUAUUAGGGAAGAACAAAUGUGUAAGUAACUAUGCACGUCUUGACGGUACCUAAUCAGAAAGCCACGGCUAACUACGUG
rnacentral:rRNA from 1 species